UCGAACUAGCAAUGGCACUUGGAUAUCAGACUCAUAAAACUGCCAUCUGUCUAUCGUCAAAGAAAACUGGCAGUGUGGAAGACAUUGUCUGAUGUGUAAAAGAUGUAUGUGUUGUCUAAUUCUCCAUUCAGUUCCAGUUUCUUCACUAGCUUCUCUAUCAGAUCAUACACUAACAGCAGAGUUUGCCACCUUUCUAUAAGCAUCAUCAAGAAACUGUAUUGAAAAGUUCAGUGAAGUCUUUGCUUGUCAAAUUAACCAGUGCUUGUUCUUCACAUGAAUAUUAAAAUUGCUGUUCAAGGUUUUUCAUGCUUAUUUUAUUAGAAGAAGAAAUUGAUGGGAUAAGCGAAGUCAAAGUAAUGGCCAGUGUUAAACAAAAUGAGCAGCUCUACAGGGACACUGAAAAGGAUUGUCAACUAUUCUGAAACUGCAAAACUGAGUAUGCAGCACAGGGCAGUAGUGUCGGCUUUCAGCGUACCUUUUCACAGAUCUCUGCAGAGUUGUUCUACCAUGAAAGUUAUUUGAGGAAAGAAAUCAACACACACCUGCCUGAUGGAUCCAAGGAAAUUCAACAAAGAUUAUAAUUAUUAAAUAUUGUUAAAAAGAAA
rnacentral:lncRNA from 14 species